CGGCACCUUCUGGGAGCUUUUCUUCUCUGUUAACUCCUUCCCGGAGCUGCCUGCAAUCAAAGACCACCAUCUUGAACAGCGAAGAUGAGGAGCAGAGGCCUGGAAGUGGUUUACAAACAGAUGACUAUGGAUGCCCCACAUGUGCUGCUUCAUCUGACUGUUGUGUCAGAGGAAAGAAUGCCACUAUCCUGUCUGAAAAUUCAGCCCAAAGGCUUUCUCUGUACAUCAAAAUAGUUUGCUUCUCUUCCUUCCCUGGCGUGUUUGACCAAGGCCCCAGAGAAUGUGGACAGAGAUGUUAAAGGCUGGCAGAACUCUGGGUGCUUGAACUGAUGUCUGAGCCUGGAGGGAUAGAGUGGAAUAAAUGGACUGCAGGCCCCA
rnacentral:lncRNA from 1 species